rnacentral:rRNA from 1 species
UACGAAGGGGGCUAGCGUUGCUCGGAAUCACUGGGCGUAAAGGGUGCGUAGGCGGCGCGGUAAGUCGGGUGUGAAAUCUUGGAGCUUAACUCCGAAACUGCAUUCGAUACUGCCGUGCUUGAGGACUGGAGAGGAGACUGGAAUUUACGGUGUAGCGGUGAAAUGCGUAGAUAUCGUAAGGAAGACCAGUGGCGAAGGCGGGUCUCUGGCCUGUUCUUGACGCUGAGGCGCGAAAGCUAGGGGAGCAAACGGG